AUUUCUCAGCCCUUGACCACGACUCACCUGAACUUGUCCUCAGCAAGCUUUAUAAGGAUUUGCUGCCGAGACUAGCUUUGGAACAGAUUUCCCAUAGCAUGCAGAUGAUUUGUACCAUUGUACAGAUUUGUGAUCCAAGAAAAAUAGAAGUUCCAUAGGGAGAAAAUAAUAAAGAGAAGCACCAAAAGAAAUACCCAUUUCACACAGAUAUUGGGAGUCAGCUUGUGGUGGCCAACAAGGCUACAAGAGUUGGUGGCAGAAAAAGAAAUGAUUAGUAACUGUGCAGAAUUGUGACUUCAGAGGAACUAAAAAACAACUGCAGUGCUAAACAACAGCCAAAGUUUGGAGCACCACUGGGCACACAGAAAUGAGGAUGGAGUGGUGAGUGAGAAGAAUCUUUGUAGGCUUCCAAGCAAUCAGUUUUCACGAGUGUCAAUUAAAGAGUUGCAAAUAUCUAUUUUCAGGCAAACUUUGUCUUACUGAGAUUGAUAAAAUAGUCUUUUGAUAGUUCUGCAAAAAAUUAAUAAUAUUCUGUUAUUUCUUAGCUCAUCAAAAGAGUUCUCAUGUUUCUCAGCCAGUUCCAUUUUUGUCAUGAAUAAAUGGCUUUUUCUCUAACAUAAGAAUAUACAUAUGUGAAUGAAUCUAUAUGACUACAUGAAUUAGCAACAGAGUACCUCAUAUUUACUAUUCCUUCAUGAAUGGAAGAAUUUAGAUUCCCUUUAGUGAAAAAUAUUUUUUAAAUAGAAAUAUUUAGCAGAUGGUUUCAACCAAAUCCAGGAACUUCUCACUUUUCUUUGUAAGACACUAAAACAACAUAAUGCUGAAACCAUUGUUUCCUUUGUAUUGUCCAUGACUCACUUGAUUUAGGAUGGUUAAAGUACAUCUGAAUGAGAGCUUAAACAAAUAGUUCAACUCAAUUAUGCAGAGAGUAAGCUUAGGCAAAUGUUUUAUAACACAGCAUCACAUAUUGAUAGCACUGAAUUGUGAAUUUUGAUGCUACUACAUUUUCUGGCAGAUAAAUUUUGGGUUUUGAUUUUUUUUUCCUUUGUUCCAUCAUGUUCGUUUGUUUG